rnacentral:rRNA from 1 species
UACGGGGGGGGCAAGCGUUGUUCGGAAUUACUGGGCGUAAAGGGCUCGUAGGCGGCCAACUAAGUCAGACGUGAAAUCCCUCGGCUUAACCGGGGAACUGCGUCUGAUACUGGAUGGCUGGAGUUUGGGAGAGGGAUGCGGAAUUCCAGGUGUAGCGGUGAAAUGUGUUGAUAUUGGAAGGAACACCGGAGGCGAAAGCGGUGCACUGGGGCUGGUCUGACGCUGAGGCACGAAAGCCAGGGGAGCGAACGGG